rnacentral:misc_RNA from 1 species
AACGCACAUUGCGCCCAUUAGUAUUCUAGUGGGCAUGCCUGUUCGAGCGUCAUUUCGACCAUUAAGCCCUGUUGCUUAGCGUUGGGAGCCUGCUGGCCUGGCCUGCAGCUCCUCAAAGUUAGUGGCGGAGUUAGUGCAUACUCUAGGCGCAGUAAUUAUCAUCUCGCUUUUGUAGUUGUGCUGGCGCCUGCCGUAAAACACCCCAAUCUUAACUGGUUGACCUCGGAUCAGGUAGGAAUACCCGCUGAACUUAA